rnacentral:rRNA from 1 species
UACGGAGGGCGCAAGCGUUAUCCGGAUUUACUGGGCGUAAAGAGUUCGUAGGCGGGCCUGCACGUCGGAGGUGAAAUCUUCAAGCUUAACUUGGAAACUGCCAUUGAUACUAUAGGUCUUGAAUUAUCUGGAGGUAAGCGGAAUAUGUCAUGUAGCGGUGAAAUGCUUAGAGAUGACAUAGAACACCCAUUGCGAAGGCAGCUUACUACGGAUUGAUUGACACUGAGGCACGAAAGCGUGGGGAUCAAACAGG